rnacentral:rRNA from 1 species
ACGGGAGGCAGCAGUGGGGAAUAUUGCACAAUGGGCGCAAGCCUGAUGCAGCGAUGCCGCGUGAGGGAAGAAGGUUUUCGGAUUGUAAACCUCUGUCAACAGGGACGAAAAUGACGGUACCUGUGAAGGAAGCUCCGGCUAACUACGUGCCAGCAGCCGCGGUAAUACGUAGGGAGCAAGCGUUAUCCGGAAUUACUGGGUGUAAAGGGAGUGUAGGCGGGACUGUAAGUCAGAUGUGAAAUAUGCCGGCUCAACUGGCAGACUGCAUUUGAAACUGCGGUUCUUGAGUGAAGUAGAGGUAAGCGGAAUUCCUAGUGUAGCGGUGAAAUGCGUAGAUAUUAGGAGGAACAUCAGUGGCGAAGGCGGCUUACUGGGCUUUAACUGACGCUGAGGCUCGAAAGCGUGGGGAGCAAACAGGAUUAGAUACCCUGGUA